rfam:Picea glauca, whole genome shotgun sequence.
GGAUCCAUAUCCCCAUGGAUAAAGAAUUGGUCUGCGAAACCAGAUAUUUUGGGUUUGAUCCCUAAUGGAGUCA